rnacentral:snRNA from 1 species
UAAGAUUAACAUGGCCCCUGUGCAAGGAUGACACCCAAAGUCAUGAAGCAUUUCAUAUUGUU